GAUGGUGAAUUUCUAAUUCCGAUCUUGGCAUUUUGAGGAAACAGGCUUCUCGCACUUUUGAAUAGAUAAGUCUUUUGGUUGGGGUACCGUUUGAGUUGGUAUUCUGAGAAAUUUCUUGUUUGUUCGUGAUCUGGUCGAGUGUUUGUGUGUUCAACCAUUAUUUUGAAAGAAUAGGCUUGUUGUUCGGGGUACCGUUUGAAUAAAUUUUAAGCACUAACCUUGAGCCAAAUGAGCUGCAGAACUUGUACCUGGAGAGGGUGCCAAUCUUUUAUUCCGUUCUUGGUGUUGUUAGACAAUAGGUUCUUGUUCAGAAUUCUGGUUGAAUGAUUAUAUAUCCGACAGUUCAUGUUUUAAAAGGCCAGCUUCAGCGUUUGGCCAAUCUUUUAUUUUGCAUUUAAAGACGAGUGAGUGAGUUCCAGUCAGUAUCUUGUGCAAACAAAUUCGGCCGUUUUUUUCGAUACACUAUUGAACGUGGUAUAAACAGUUUUCUUCUGUAUUUAAGUUGUGUAGGAUUAAGUUACCUCGGAGGCUUUUACAAUCCGUUUUGUUUUUAGUUUAUCCUGUCAUUAAGACAGUCAGAUAAAUAAAUAACUUGUCUGGAACAAGUGGGCGAAACUUUAUCUAGGGGUGUGUUCUCUUAGCCUGUGGCCAGAAAGGGUGGGGGCCUAGGAGCAGAGUACAUCUAGAAACAGCUGGGACGCAGAUCCCAAUCGAGAGAGAGAGAGAGAGAGCAACGCACGGGGGAAGUGCACAUUUGUGGUUUUAGAGAUAAUAAAAUAAAUUGUCUAACGAGUUGAAUAAACUCAAAUAAAUUGUAUUAAAAAUAGUGUUUACACACCUAGAGAGAAUAUGAAUAUAGUACAGACGGCUGCGGAGAUUUUGAGUAGAGACCGUCUAUUGCUCAAAGGUGAGAUGAAAAAGAUCUCUGAGAAAUGGAGGAAAGAAAAGGGAACAGCUGGAAAAAUAACAAAUAAAGAUGUGAAAACUGAGCCAUUAUCCCGAAGGCUCAGUCUCCACCGUAUAACACAGGAUUGUAUCCACUGGUAACAGGCACGGUAGAUAUUAAAGGGGAGGUCGAAGUGAAUGCAGAAAAUAAGGGGGAGAGUUUCUGGGACAGACACAAGGGGGGGGGGGGCAAAGUCCAGCAGCAUUAAAUCAUUACAGAGCCCCCUAAACGCUCGAGUUACAUGAGAAGCAUGGUAGAUCGCAUGAGGAGAGAAGAGCACCCAACACGUCAUCGGGAAAUUAUCUUAUUCUAGUUAAACAACAACGGGCAUUCUCUCCUCCAGUACAAUGGCCUUAGAGCCAAUGGUCACCUACUCCACCUGUCAUAAAUAUACAUAUACAUCAUUGUGGGAACCUAACGAAUGGAAAUAGGCAGAAUCAGUAUAAGGGACCCAAGGAUAGUAGAAAAACAAUCAACAGCAGGACAACCUAGAGGUCCUUUAAUAUGUUUUGGGUGCAGGCAGGAAGGACAUAUUAGAAAAAUUGUAUGUGGUUGCUAGUGUGUCCUAAAAAUGAAUCCUGACGGGACAGGUCAUUCGAUUUGGAUGAAUUUGUCAUGCGUUUCAACUCCAAGGGUGACAAUCUGAGAAUUCUUAUUUUCAGAGUGAGUGAGUGAGUGAGUGAGUGAGUGAGAAAGAGGGAGAGAGAGAGAGAGAGAGAGAGAGAGAGAGAGAGAGAGAGAGAGAGAGAGAGAGAGAGAGAGAGAGAGAGAGAGAGAGAGAGAGAGAGAGAGAGAGAGAGAGAGAGAGAGAGAGAGAGAGAAUGGAUUUGCAUUGUGCUGAAUAGAUUACAUUUGUGAUUGGAUGUACUCUGUACUACUUGGUCCUUCGAUAUAACUUGUGGCCCCUUAAUGGCCCCUGUUUUAGGAAAAUCAUAAAACCACCACUGGGAUCGGUGACUCUGUGGUUCUGUGUGUCGCGACAACCUUUGAGACUCUCCAUAGCGUCGUGGUACCUUGUGAUAUGAAUCAAUAGAUCUUGGUACACAGAACAAUUGGUGAAACACUGUGUUGGUUCAGAGGGAUACAGCAUGUUGGGUAAGGGAGAGGAUUGAGAGGAUUCUGGAUGUGAUGAGUUUAAUGUAAAGGACACAGAGAGAGAUGGUAGGGCCCAACCCAGAGGUGAUAAAUCAAUGGAGAGCCCAGUAUCGAAGUAUUAGAGCUAUAUGGUAAUCGCAGGUUUUAAUGGUAAUUAUCUAGACUCCAUAAAAUGAACAAUUAGCGUUUAAUGUUGUCAAUAAAAUGCACACCGCUCGUCCACAGGAGUCCAGGGGGCUACCAGCGCUGGGGAUUCUUAUUAAAAGAAUUCAGGGUAAACACAGUUGCACUCCUCAAAAGAGGAGCUCAGCUUACCCAAACCUUGGACUCCGCAGUGGUAGGUGGAUAGGUGGAUGUUGUUUUGGUGUUUGGACCUGACGAGGUCUAGGCGCCAAGAUAACAACACAAAUAAAAUGUUUCCUAAGGAAUUACGAUAAUAUCAGACAUUUAUUAAAAGUGGUCGUACAAUCUAGAAAUAAUAAUUGGCAAUACUUGAAAAUUAGAAUAGAUGAGUACGAUAAAAUAUUAAUCAAAUUUAUGAAUUCAUUUUAUCCACAAUGACAAAUGUCAUUUAAAAUUAAAUAAGUAAAAUACAAUAAAAAAGGGUGUGUGUUUGAGCCUGCUCUCGUGUGUGUGUUAGGGCCACAGAGGCAGGGGAGAAUGCUCUCCUACUUAGUGUGAUGGAAUAUACGAAGGGGUACCAAAAGCUUACUUCAGACAAAACAACAGGUAGAAUAAAAUAAGAUUAGAUCGCCCAAUUUAAAUAGUGAGUAUAGGACAAUCGGGUGGAAUAAUAAAGGGAAUUAUGAUUAUGAGUAACGGUUAACACAGAAGUGAAUCGCCUAAUAUUGAAAAUGCAAGUUUUAAUAUUGUGAUUUUUUGUUUUAUUUCACAUCUCCUUAGUUAAGGACAAUAGGUGGAUUAACGCUACAUCUGCUGGGAAGGGAUCCUACAUGCUAGGUCUCAAUUUACAUUCAGAAGUGGUGGGUUUACCUUUCAAAUGCCACGACUGCUGCUGCAACACUUUUAUAGGAUAUUAACAUUUGAUAAUAUGAUAUUUUUAACUCUGAUAAAAUACCCUUAGAUUCACCCCAUCAUAUACCCCCCGCACACACAGGGUCAAAUUUUAGUUGUUGUUGUAGCUGCUCUGGUGUGUCCAUUACAGCCUUGGCUGCAUGGGCAAUUGUGAUUGAAGACUCUGUCUCCAUCCCUCCACUUUGCGGUCAAAACCACCUUAUGGGUGGGGAUUGAUUGUAUCCCAGGCACGGCAUCCUGCACUAAGCCAGUAUGGAAGGCUGGUUAGCCAACGACGGGUAAGAUCCCACCUUGAAGCCCGGGACAACCUAAAACAGGCACAGUCACGAUUACUUGGCAGUCACUGUGAGCACUGGCUCACUUGAUCAUGAAGUGACAAACUGCAACCAUCAUAGGAAGAGCCGGAGGGUCAAAGGUGGAGGGGGAACAGGGGUCAGAUAUGGCAGCCCCAGCAGCAGAGGUGGUGGUAUUGGGACAGGCAUGUUACGUUUUAUUUGCCCGUUGAGGUGUGAAGGCCUAUUGCUGCAUGAAAUCUUUUCGGUUUAGUGCAUGACUUGGUAACGGCGUGGUUUCAAGGCGGCUGAUGGUAAACCCACCAAUAUCAACCUUUGGUUUUGGAUAUGCUGGCUUCGAUUUCCCUUCCCAAUAGAUUGGUUUUAGUUUAUGGAUGGUUAGGGUUAGGCGUUCCAACGUUGGUUCCACCGACGGCAUUGUUAGGUUCGCCUAUCAUUUAAAUGCGCAUGGUUUUGACCAUUGCGCAAGGGGGGAGGUGUUGAGGAGUGUUGAGAAUUAGAAAACAAGGUUUUUUCUUCACCAUAAUUGCAAUCAAUAAUUGAUAAACCAACUAAAUGAGUAUAAAUGAUGUGCAAAAAACAAUGUAAGAAAAACAAUCACUGCUACAUUGGGACACAUUCCCACACCUGAAGGACCAUUUUGACAUUUGGUCAUGAACUAUGUUGACAUGUUGUGCAUUCAUGCCAAGGUUUGAAAUUCAAUCAGAGAUAAGUUCAGACAAUGGGCCAGCAUAUAUUCAGCAAACACUGUUUCAAGCACUAAAUAGAACUGGUUAGAUGCAAUUAUUAUCUUUACACACACACACACACACACAACUAUAUACACACACACACACACACACACACACACACACACACACACACACACACACAUAUACACACACACACACACA